UGGGCUUGAAGUGCAGACGAAAAUUCGCGAAAGCGGAUCGUCCUUCGGGACGUCUGUAG
rnacentral:rRNA from 1 species